rnacentral:lncRNA from 1 species
GAGAUAAUGGAAUAUCUGAAGGGAAGGGUUCAGUCCAAGAUUUGGUCCAGUUCAGUCCAGUCCCAUCCAACCUCAGACUGCCCUGGGGUGCAGGUUGCCCCAGAGGAGGAAGCAAUGGCAAAAACUGAAGAACAAGGUUCCAUUUCCACAUCUGAGGUAUCAAUGUUAGGGAAGAAGUUAUCAGGAACCAGGUCUUCAAAGUACCUGUCACUCACAGUCUCAAAGUUGCCCAGGGUAGGCUCCUCAACUCUGACAAUUGGGGAAAUUGAGGCCCAGAGAGGGGAAGGUAUUUGCUUGCAGUCACUCAACCGGUCAGGGGCAGAGAAAGGUCUACAACUCAGAUCUAGGGGUUCACCAUCAUCUUGGGUGGCUCUUAAGCCCCGGAGCACCUCCAAUUCUUUGAAGAAGUUGUUCACUGGCUGGGCAGGUAAACACACCCUCUUCUGACUCUGUCCUCUCAGGGCUCUAAGACCUUGUUGAUUGUCCCAAAUCGCCAGUCUUCUCCCCAACCCCUCCAGCCUUCGAGUCUCCCUGCCUCUUCCUGGCGGCUCUGGUCCCUGGGGUCUCCCUGUCUCCUCCUCCUCUUCUACCCCCCGCCCCAGCUCACCGUCCCGGGCUCCAUGCCUCCGGACUGGAGGCGGGGCAGGGGCCCGGAGCCUGUGUUUGUCACACCCAGGUAGCCCAGCCAACAGCUCACAGACACUGGCCAAAGCCUCGCCCGCGCCACGCGCUGAUUGGCCGGGGGAGGUUGCCGUUCCGACUAUAGGUGAUGCUCGUCUCCACCCUUUCCUCCUCCAUCCCUACCUGCGCCCCGAGUCAUUUAAAGGCCACAGUCGCGCGACUACCAGAUUGACUAGCCUCCCCGGUCGGUGCAGGCCCCUCCUCCCGGGGCCAUCUAUAAGCUUUGAGGGAGGAGGCGAGCUGCGGAGAAGUGUUAUUCUCGUUAGGACAGGCGGAAAGGGGACCCCUCCCGACCCCGCCCACCUGCGCUUGGCGGUGUAGACUGCGCAGGCGUAAAGAAGCCGAAAACACAGGGGUCCAAAGCCCGUCCUGCAACCUAUCAGACGGGCCAGAGGCGGGGGAGGGGAGGAAGCUUGACGUCUCUAUGGCGACCAGGAUCCGGUCCUUUCGGACUCCCCUGGGCCCCGCCCUGGAGGCAGGAGAGCUUGGGGGAGUGGAUCUGUCCCGAGCGGGGCUGAGCUCCCUGUUCGACAACAUACACUUACGCACAUACCACACGUGUACGCACACAGCACACAUGAACGCACACGUGCACGCACACAGCACACAUGAACGCACACGUGCACGCACACAGAGCCCACGACCCGAGGGGACGGAGAGACUGGCACAAAGAGAGACGGUCGGGGAACGCGAGACCGCCUGGAGAGGAGAGAAAGGCAGAGGAGGGCAGAAGAGAAACCGACCAGCAGGGACGGAGAUAGCCUGG